GCACGUUGUUUCUCAGUGCUCCAACUAGCCCUGCUCGUGUCUCCGCUGCUCUCUCUGAUGAUUUCCACAUGAGUAGUGGUGGGGAAGGUGUAAAAGUACCCGGUGAAGUUCCGUUUAAUUGGGAGGAAAGGCCUGGAAUUCCGAAAUCAAGAGAUGAGGGGGAGGAGGAGGAUUUUGUUUUCGAUUUUAGUGGACAGUUGGAAAGAAGCUCUGUUUCAGCUGCUGAUGAGCUUUUUGAUGGUGGAAAGAUUAGGCCUUUAAAGCCACCACCUAGAGUACAAUAUGAAGCUCAUUACAAACCAUUCGAUUCGCCUAGAUCGCCUAAGCAGAGAUUCAAGCAAACUUUCUCUCCGCGAAAUAAGAAGGAGGUUGAUCCAUUUGCUGCAGCCAUACAACACACUGCUCG
rnacentral:misc_RNA from 1 species